rfam:Felis catus isolate Cinnamon breed Abyssinian chromosome E2, whole genome shotgun sequence.
GCCUGGGUGGCUCAGUUGGUUGAGCAGCCGACUUCGGCUCAGGUCACGAUCUCGCAGUCCGUGAGUUCGAGCCCCGCAUCAGGCU